rnacentral:lncRNA from 1 species
AGAUGGCGUUGGGAGCAAUAUGUUGCACCAUUGAUAUAAGCAAGACUCGGAGGUCUUCAAAAAUAGGAUUUCUUUUUUGUCUAUUACUGCAAAUGAGUCUACUCUCUAAAGUGUGGACUACCACAAUGACUAGUACAACAACCACUCUGACAACAGAUGGGACAUCAUCAUCAAUGUCAGAAGCUGAAAUCCAGAGUUCAACCACUCAAUCUACAAUUCCAGUAAUAGUGUCCUCCUCCACUUCUUCUGACCAAACGUCAUCUAUAGCCACAUCAGGCACUUCCGUGACAGAAGCUUCAUCAACAAUUGCUAGUACAGCAACCACUUUGACAACAGAUGCGAUAUCAUCUACAAUAUCAGAAACUGAAAGCCAGAGUUGGACCACUCAAUCUACAAUUCCAGUAAUAGUGUCCUCCUCCACUUCUUCUGACCAAACGUCGUCUACAGCCACAUCAGGCACUUCCGUGACAGAAGCUUCAUCCACAAUGGCUAGUACAGCAACCACUCUGACAACAGUUGCGAUAUCAUCAUCAAUGUCAGAAGCUGAAAUCCAGAGUUCAACCACUCAAUCUACAAUUCCAGUAAUAGUGUCCUCCUCCACUUCUUCUGACCAAACGUCAUCUAUAGCCACAUCAGGCACUUCCGUGACAGAAGCUUCAUCAACAAUUGCUAGUACAGCAACCACUUUGACAACAGAUGCGAUAUCAUCUACAAUAUCAGAAACUGAAAGCCAGAGUUGGACCACUCAAUCCUCAAUUCCAGUAAUAGUGUCCUCCUCCACUUCUUCUGACCAAACGUCGUCUACAGCCACAUCAGGCACUUCCGUGACAGAAGCUUCAGCCACUAACAUACAAAGCACUACUUCUAACAGUUCUACUGUUGCCUCAACAGGCAUUACUAGUAUGGACACAGGUAUUCUUUCUUAUAUUCUUUAUACCAUAGAAUAACAAUAAUACAAUAAAACUAUAUAUACUACA